rnacentral:rRNA from 1 species
UACGGAGGGUGCUAGCGUUGUUCGGAAUCACUGGGCGUAAAGCGCGUGUAGGCGGCCCUGCAAGUCGGAUGUGAAAUCCCACGGCUCAACCGUGGAAGUGCAUUCGAAACUGCAGGGCUAGAGUCCUGGAGAGGAAGGUGGAAUGCUUGGUGUAGAGGUGAAAUUCGUAGAUAUCAAGCGGAACACCGGUGGCGAAGGCGGCCUUUUGGACAGUGACUGACGCUGAGACGCGAAAGCGUGGGGAGCGAACAGG